rnacentral:rRNA from 1 species
GAUGAACGCUGGCGGCGUGCCUAAUACAUGCAAGUCGAGCGAACGGACGAGAAGCUUGCUUCUCUGAUGUUAGCGGCGGACGGGUGAGUAACACGUGGAUAACCUACCUAUAAGACUGGGAUAACUUCGGGAAACCGGAGCUAAUACCGGAUGAUAUUUUGAACCGCAUGGUUCAAAAGUGAAGGACGGUCUUGCUGUCACUUAUAGAUGGAUCCGCGCUGCAUUAGCUAGUUGGUAAGGUAACGGCUUACCAAGGCAACGAUGCAUAGCCGACCUGAGAGGGUGAUCGGCCACACUGGAACUGAGACACGGUCCAGACUCCUACGGGAGGCAGCAGUAGGGAAUCUUCCGCAAUGGGCGAAAGCCUGACGGAGCAACGCCGCGUGAGUGAUGAAGGUCUUCGGAUCGUAAAACUCUGUUAUUAGGGAAGAACAUAUGUGUAAGUAACUGUGCACAUCUUGACGGUACCUAAUCGGAAAGCCACGGCUAACUACGUG